rnacentral:rRNA from 1 species
GAUGAACGCUAGCGGGAGGCCUAACACAUGCAAGCCGAGCGGUAGAGUUUCUUCGGAAACUUGAGAGCGGCGCACGGGUGCGUAACACGUGUGCAACCUACCUUUAUCUGGGGAUAGCCUUUCGAAAGGAAGAUUAAUACCCCAUAAUAUAAUGAUUGGCAUCAAUUAUUAUUGAAAACUCCGGUGGAUAGAGAUGGGCACGCGCAAGAUUAGAUAGUUGGUGAGGUAACGGCUCACCAAGUCAAUGAUCUUUAGGGGUCCUGAGAGGGAGAUCCCCCACACUGGUACUGAGACACGGACCAGACUCCUACGGGAGGCAGCAGUGAGGAAUAUCGGACAAUGGGUGAGAGCCUGAUCCAGCCAUCCCGCGUGAAGGAUGACGGUCCUAUGGAUUGUAAACCUCUUUUGUACAGGGAUAAACCUACCCUCGUGAGGGUAGCUGAAGGUACUGUACGAAUAAGCACCGGCUAACUCCGUG